rnacentral:rRNA from 1 species
GGGGAAUAUUGGGCAAUGGGCGAAAGCCUGACCCAGCGACGCCGCGUGGGUGAUGAAGGCCUUCGGGUCGUAAAGCCCUGUCAGGAGGAAAGAACGAUCUUGUGGUGAAUACCCACGAGAUGUGACGGUACCUCCGAAGGAAGCACCGGCCAAUUCCGUGCCAGCAGCCGCGGUAAGACGGAAGGUGCAAGCGUUGCUCGGAAUCACUGGGCGUAAAGGGUGCGUAGGCGGCUUCUUAAGUCUGGUGUGAAAGCCCAGGGCUCAGCUCUGGAAGUGCACUAGAUACUGGGAAGCUCGAGUACCGGAGGGGAGAGUGGAAUUCCUGGUGUAGCGGUGAAAUGCGUAGAUAUCAGGAGGAAUAGCGGUGGCGAAAGCGACUCUCUGGACGGUUACUGACGCUGAGGCACGAAAGCGUGGGGAGCAAACA